rnacentral:rRNA from 1 species
AUUGAACGCUGGCGGCAGGCCUAACACAUGCAAGUCGAACGAGUGGCGGACGGGUGAGUAAUGUCUGGGAAACUGCCUGAUGGAGGGGGAUAACUACUGGAAACGGUAGCUAAUACCGCAUACCAUCAGAUGUGCCCAGAUGGGAUUAGCUAGUUGGUGGGGUAAUGGCUCACCAAGGCGACGAUCCCUAGCUGGUCUGAGAGGAUGACAGGCCACCCGGGAACUGAGCCACGGUCCAGACUCCUCCGGGGGGCAGCGGUGGGUAAAAUGGCACAAUGGGCGAAAGCCUGUUGCACCCAUGCCGGGUGUAUGAAGAAGGCCUUCGGGUUGUAAAGUACUUUCAGCGGGGAGGCGUUACCCGCAGAAGAAGCACCGGCUAACUCCGUGCCAGCAGCCGCGGUAAUU